rnacentral:tRNA from 1 species
CGAAGGAUAGUUUAUUUAAAAUACCGACUUUGGAAGUCGAUGACUAGGAGUACUCCUAUCCUUCGA